GAAAUGCGAUAAGUAAUGUGAAUUGCAGAAUUCAGUGAAUCAUCGAAUCUUUGAACGCACCUUGCGCUCCUUGGUAUUCCUUGGAGCAUGCCUGUUUGAGUAUCAUGAAAUCUUCAAAGUAAAUCUUUUGUUAACUCAAUUGGUUUCUACUUUGGUAUUGGAGGUCUUUGCAGCUUCACACCUGCUCCUCUUUGUUCAUUAGCUGGAUCUCAGUGUUAUGCUUGGUUCCACUCGGCGUGAUAAGUUAUCUAUCGCUGAGGACACUGUAAAAGGUGGCCAAGGUAAAUGCAGAUGAACCGCUUCUAAUAGUCCAUUGACUUGGACAAUACUUUUAUGAUCUGAUCUCAAAUCAGGUACAACUACCCGCUGAACUUAAGC
rnacentral:misc_RNA from 1 species